CAGGAAAUUUCCCCUUUUGCUUUCUAUGGUUGACAAUUUUUGGUGUGCGUUUCUGCACUGUUUUGACCUUUCUUGUUAAGUCCCGCCUUACGCACGCCAUUGGUCAAACUGCUUCUCAAUCAUUGGCCUCGGCCCAACGGCAUCAGCCAAGAGACAAAGCAGCAGCCUGUUAACUGCAGGUGGCACAUCAUGGCUCCAAAACAGCGUACAAAUACCUCAAGGAAAAAAUCUCUGUGUUUUUGUUUUGGUCGGGAAACGUGCUCAUUGACAUGGCAAAUAAGCUAAAACACGGAGGGGAGUUGGGUUCGCUGGAAUAUUUACAGGCGUCAGUUUGUUUUCAAAAAUCGUAAGUGACUUUGUUAAGUAGCUUUGUGAGUAAACGUGACCGUUUAGGCAACAUAUUCUGCUGUAUGCAUGCAAUAUAUAACAGAAUGUCAACAAAACAAUCAUGGACCUCGAUGUCGAGUGGUGAAGGGUAAGUGUUAAAAAAAAUCUGUUGACGUAUCAUCCAACGUAAUUUAAAAGUUAACUGGCAACAGGUGAAUACAAUUACAAUGGCUAAUCACAUACGUUUUGAAAUCUUAUUCUUAAUGUUUGACGCAAGUUGCAUUAAAAAGUAUAAAGGUUUUUCAGAAUUGUGUUGUUGUUUUAGAACGUUGCUUUCACAAUCAUUUAAGAACACUCAUAUGCAUGGACAACGGAUUUCAUCUUAUGAGGUGUGUUACCUUUAACCAUAUGGAUGAUGAUGUAUUUGUGCAAAUUUUGUGAUAGCUCUCUAAAGACAGUUAAGGGAUAUGUUAAUCAUCAAAUCGUACACCGACAUGAAGCAAAUGCUCAGUUUCCAUGUUGCUUCCCAGAAUGCAAAUUUAAAUUCUCAAAAUACAAUGCUCUCAAAGCUCAUGUUUAUCGCCAUCACAAAAGACCACAUACUCGUUUGGAUGAUUCGACGGGCACGUUUGUUUGCAACAAUACAGACUGUCAACAACAAUUUACAGACAUGAACAAUGUCCUUUCUCAUCUCAGGUCACAUUUAGCCAAGGGAGAGGUGGUGUGUUGUCCUUUUGAAAAAUGUGACAAAAAUUUCAGUUUAAGAUCAAGUUUCACUGCCCAUGUUUCACGAAAGCACAGAACUUCUACAUUUGCACAAGUAUGGAUUAUGGAUACUUUAUCUGAGCAACCUUCUUCAGCAUUUUUUGAUGUUACUGAGGAGGAGGUUGAUGAAAGUGAAUUCACUGACUCCCUGACGAAAUGUAACGCAAAGUCAUUGUACAUGAAAAAUCUCUGCCUGUUUUAUAUGCAGCUACAAGCAAAAUACCUGGUGCCAUCGUCAACCAUUCAGAUGAUAGUGGAGCAAUAUCAGAAAGGAAUUUCUCAGAGAAAAAUUGCAAAGAGUUUGAAGUUAUCAUCAUCUGCAGUGCAUAAUAUCAUUCAGAGAAUCUGGAACAAUCACUGUGCGUAAGGGUCAAGGCCAGAAAACCAUCUUCGGGCCCUUAGAUGGCACUGCAUCACAUACAGGAAUGCUACUGUAAUGGAAAUCACAACAUGGGCUCAGGAAUACUUUCAGAAAACAUUGUCUGUGAACACAAUCCACCAUGCCAUUCGCCGUUGCCGGCUAAAACUCUAUAGGUCAAAAAAGAAGCCAUAUCUAAACAUGAUUCAGAAGCGCAGGCAUUUUCUCUGGGCCAAGGCUCAUUUAAAAUGACAAUGCCAGACCACAUACUGCAUCAAUUACAACAUCAUGGCUGCGUAGAAGGAUCCGGGUACUGAAAUGGCCAGCCUGCAGUCCAGAUCUUUCACCCUUAGAAAACAUUUGGCACAUCGUUAAGAGGAAGAUGCGACAAAGAAGACCUAAGACAGUUGAGCAUCUAGAAGCCUGUAUUAGACAAGAAUGGGACAACAUUCCUAUUCCUAAACUUGAGCAGCUUGUCUCCUCAGUCCCCAGACGUUUGCAGAAUGUUAUAAAAAGAAGAGGAGAUGCCACACAGUGGUAAACAUGGCCCUGUCCCAACUUUUUUGGAAUGUGUAGCUCUCAUGAAAUCUAAAAUGAGCCAAUAUUUUACAUGACAUUUCAAAAUGUCUCACUUUCAACAUUUGAUGUUAUCUAUAUUCUAUUGUAAAUAAAAUAUAAGUUUAUGAGAUUUGUAAAUUAUUCCAUUCCUUUUUUACUCACAAUUUUUACAGUGUCCCAACUUUUUUGGAAUCGGGUUUGUAUAUGUGUAGGUGUAUAUGUAUACAAAUCUGCAGAUUUAUUGUACACUAGUCAACAUUUGAAGAGUUUUGGGUAUUGGUUUUAAGACAACUAUUAUGAAAGGUUUUGAUCCUCUUAAAAUUUUGACUAGUGUAGUUUGAUGGUACAAAUCAAACUGUGAUGGCACGGGGCCUCAAAACAUUGAUUUUGGAAAUUGCAUACAUUGUGAUCCGUACAUGUGUCACUGUGGUGAUUACCUGGUGCAUGAAUAGCCAAAACGUCUCCAGUUGAGUCCGCAGCUUAUGCCAGCGUAGAGUGAAGACUGUUGUGCAUUGUUCAGAGCAACUACAGGGCCACAGUGCAGCAAAUCACCAGCAACACGUUACAUGUGCCCAUUUCAUGCUAGUGAUUUGUUGCACUGUGGUCCUGUGGUCCCUGUGAAAAAUGCACAACCGUCUCCCCUCUGACAAUAAUGCACUGCGGACAUAAAACAAGUCUGUGCACCACUUUAAAUGCAUACUAUAUAUAGUGGCACAUGAACAACCCACAAAGCCCCAUGCCAUCUCUGUUUGUCCGUUAUUAAACUUCAAUAAAUCUGCAGCUUGGGAAUAGGCAAUUUUGCCAAAAAAUUACAGCUGCAUGAAAAGUGUUCAUCCUGUAACCUGUGGACAUUGGCUUAUCUUCUAGGUGACAGUAGCUGUGAAACUUCGUUUUAUGACCAUGACUGGCAUUAUAGUUUUGAUGUUCCAUGACAAAAAAUGCCAGCAAGUUUUAUGGGAAAGUUGCAAAAUGGCGAAAGGCCAAGUUGCUCUGAGAGAAGAAAGUUGGUCCGCAUUGUUGCUUCUGAGAUCCUGGAAGUCAGCAAAUGUCCAGCAAAAAAACAUGUAUCAGAAAUAGCCCGACAAAUGGUGAUUGCAUACCCAAAGUCUUUCAGAGAUGAGAUUAAUUCCCAGGUUGUAGGAAGUGGAUAUGAUUCUCUCCUCAAACAACUGGUGUGUAGAAUUGACAAUUUGAAAAGAGCAAAAGCUAUUAGUAUACCACUUUGUGGUACUCUAGAAGUAUAAACCAAGAAACAAAAAUUGUUAUAUGGUUGUAUAAAUUCUGAUCCACAACUGCUAGUUGGAGAAACGUCUGAAUUGCAGCAGGAAAAGAAAGAGAAGUUGGUAGUAAUGUUUCAAAAUAAUGAAAGUGAUGUAAAGACAAUCUAUGACUUAAUGACUUCUACAUACACCCCUCAAAGAAACAGCAUCCAAUCUGGAAAGGAAACCAAAGAUUUACUUGAUGAGUGGCCAUAUCUUUUUCAGCCAGCAGGAAUGAAAGCACACUUUAAAGAGCUCACUGGCAUUGACAUAAACAACCGCUUUGAAGAAUCUGCUUCCAGUAAGUUCAGAAGAAUAUUGGACUACUUUCAAUUUCAGUGCACAGAAAGAGCAAGCAAAGCAGGGAGAAUCCUCACAAAGUAUAGAGCUGGAGGGGAUCAUGUUUGUGGGGCCGUGAUGUUGCUGCUAACCCAUUUCAAAAAUUACCAAGACCACUUUCUUGUGAUGGUAGAAGACACCUCUGUUCCAAGUGAUAUAUGCUCAGAACAGCUUCCAGCAACACCAUGUAUAGUAGUGUGUGGUGGGUAUUAUUUACUAUGAUCUUGCAACACAAUAAUUCCUGGUUUUGGGUGAUCAGAACUCACAUUCUGUUAAAUAUUAUGUCUUACUGAUUUUGUGUUUUUUCAAAGGAGAGAACCCACUGACAGCCAGUGUGUCCAUGGUAGCAGUAGACCAGAUGAUUGUAAAUGACCAUCUCUUGAGUUUUACAGAAGCCCUGUAUCUGAUGUUCUCUCUUUACUAUAUAUUGAACAUCAGUUACCCUGUAGAACUGGGAGCCACACUAGAAUUCUUGCAAAGGUGCAUCUUUAGGAUAAAUCCUCAUAAAGGUACCAAGGUGGAAAAGAGAGAGAAAAAGAGAGCGUACUCUGUCAACCCCAGAGUAUUGAGUCUGACAUCAAAAAUUGCUGCAUUUGAUUGGGGAGAGUAACAGAUGUGGUCUUUCAGAAGAUUGGCAUUUCGCUGAAGAACAGGACAGACCGACUUUUUGUACUUCAGUGCAGCACUUUGUUGCUUAAAUCAUUUUUAUUACCUUGUGACGUGAUUAGGAUUUAGUUUAUAUUUAUUUAUUUGAUUGGGACAGUGCAUGUUAAUGAACAAACAUGGAAUACAUGCAUGUAAACAUGCUGGAUUGUAGCCAAAGGCUAAUUUCCAUCCGUAGUCCCACGGGCUAAAAUCACACGGGUCACAAAACAUUACAUAAUAAAAUUUACAUCUACAGUUAGUACAUCGUUUAUCAAUAAAUUAGCUAAAGCCCCGUAUACAAUAUUCACAUAAUACUUGAAAAUUCAUUCAACUUCAAAAUUAUCAGAAUCCAGGCCCAGUGUUUUUGUUUCUUUUAAACUGAACACAUUUGUGUUCUGAAACAUGCUUUAUCCAUUUUCUCCAUGUGACAUGUUCAGGAUUAUCAGAAUUAAUGUCGAUUUAUUUAUUUUUUUAAAUUGAACAAAUUUGUUUUCUAAAACAUGACUUUUGCUGGGAAGUGUUUUUCCAUUGUUUGAUCUUGAAGGUUUGCUAUAUAAUAAAAAGCUGAAGUUGUUUACAGCAAUACUCUGGCUACCAUAAUUUAUUGUAUAACAUUUUACAAAAAUUUGUGUUUCAAGAGUAUUUUUAAUUAGUUUUUAGCAUUACUUCUGUCACACAGUAUACAAAGAUGUCCCUCUACAUUUGGUUUAAAUAAAUAAAUUCACUAGAAAAAGAUUAUGGCAUGAAAACAUGUAAGCCCAGAUUUGCUAACUAUUUGUGGCAGUGCACACUUUCUGAAUGUGUCAGGGUUUUCAGAAGACAUGAUAGAAAGGCAUGUACAGUGAUUAUUGCAUCUUUAUUGGAUAUGCAUUUGUAGGAAAUUUCCUUUAUGAAAGCGUCCCUUAACCC